GACGAACGCUGGCGGCGUGCUUAACACAUGCAAGUCGAACGGAAAGGCCCUGCUUUUGUGGGGUGCUCGAUUGGCGAACGGGUGAGUAACACGUGAGUAACCUGCCCUUGACUUUCGGAUAACUUCAGGAAACUCGGGCUCAUACCGGAUAGGAUCUCCUGCUGCAUGUUGGGGGUUGGAAAGUUUCGGCGGUUGGGGAUGGACUCGCGGCUUAUCAGCUUGUUGGUGGGGUAGUGGCUUACCAAGGGUUUGACGGGUAGCCGGCCUGAGAGGGUGACCGGCCACAUGGGGACUGAGAUACGGCCCAGAAUCCUACGGGAGGCAGCAGUGGGGAAUAUUGCACAAUGGGCGGAAGCCUGAUGCAGCAACGCCGCGUGCGGGAUGACGGCCUUCGGGUUGUAAACCGCUUUCGCCUGUGACGAAGAGUGAGUGACGGUAAUGGGUAAAGAAGCACCGGCUAACUACGUG
rnacentral:rRNA from 1 species